rnacentral:lncRNA from 1 species
CUUAUUGUAAAAAGCCUCUUUUCGUAUUUUGCUUUUUGUAAUUCUUUUCAAUACUAGUCACAUGGAUUAUUUAUUUUAAAGAAAGAAAGAAACAAUUUAUAUGGCUAUAAACUUCAACAACCAAUACAUGUCUCUUUUUGAACAAGUCUUGUGUCUUUUUGCUUUCUUUUCUUCUCCUUUUCGUAAACGACGAUUUAGAUAUUUUCCGGUAUUGAGAAGUAGUCUUAACAUAGAAGAGUCUCACAUAGGUAAUACUAAUAAAGAAGAUACCGUAAAUUAACGUAUUAAUCUCCCUUCAAAACCAUCACUAAAGAUUUUAUAUAAGUAACACCAAUUACGACAAAAUAUAUCUUAAUCAACUUGUUCCAACAAACACAUCGGAAACGUCCUUUGAUUUAACCCAAAACUUUUGUAAUUAAAAUAAAAAAAAACAAUAACUCUUUUUUUAGGAUUAGAAAUGAUUCUAGUUACAUAGAAAUAGAUCUCUCUUUCUUUUUUUCUUUGUUUUGUUUUUGUGCUCCCGCAAUGGUUAUCAUCAUCAACGAACAAUAGCCAUACGACGACGUUGAGCCUCAGUUGGCACUUUCACAUCGGUGGCUAAACCGAUAAUCUCAAGAAACCGAACAAUGUACCAAGAAAUGUCUAUCUGCCACCACUCAAGUCCUUGUCUAGCCGACGACUCGAAUGCAUGAUGGUUGUUAUGCCAGCUCUCUCCAAAUGAAAACACCGAUAGCCACCUUCCCAUAUGAACAAAAAUACACAAAUACAUUAUUAGGUGUCUUUUUGGAAAACAUGAGCUGUCUCCGGUUCAUGUCUACUUUUGUAUUUUGGGAAAGUGUCAUACAAGAUAUUCUACUAUCUCAAAGUACUGUACACCCACCUAUAAAAAAAAAAUGUUUAUAGGGAUUUCAAUAAUUUUUUUUGAUAUGAAAACACAUACCAAACAUUGCGAGAAGUGUCAUUGGUCUUCCAAGUUCGACUGCCCCAAAUAUGGCAGAGUGAAUUAAUGAGGCAAGUCACGUGCACUUCCAAUGCUGCUCCAACACCCUGAUACAUGAAUACGAGAGAAUCACACCAACCACAAUCUUUUAUAUUAAUUACAAAGAGAUUUUUGAUUCUAUACAAAAAUUUAUUAACCCAAUAUAUAUAUAUAUACGUUUUUGGAGUAUUAAAAGAGAUUCUUCAAUUAAUAUUACCAUUCCCCAAGUGACGAAGGACAUGCCACCGAGAUAGAAGAGAAUCAGACCCAAUCCUAAUAUGUGAAACAUCACUGUCUUCUGAAGAAACCUAUAAAACCACUGCCUCUUCAAAUCCUCCACAUUCGCUCUUUUUCCACACUGUCGUUUUAUAUUCAUCCAGAUUUAGAUUUUGGUUACAAAAACCAAAGAAACAGAAAUAUAAAAAAAAAAAGAAUAGAAAAAAUCAACCUUAGAAACAAGGUAGGCAGAGUCAUAGAUCCAUAGAAGAUGACUAAACCAAAAACCUUCCUUGGGACUAUGAGGAUCACGCUCUGAAUCCGUAAACUGGUGAUGGUAUCGAUGAGUACUCACCCAAUCUAUCGGAUCUCCCUAUAUUAAACAAACAUAUUAAAAACAAAACAAAAAAGUUUUUUUUUUAGAUCUAUAAAAAAAAACUAGUAGUUAAGAUCUCAAGAUCUAUAAUAUAGGUUACUAGAAAACAACAAAAAGAUUAGGUUUAUGGAGAACCUGAAUAGCGAGAAGGGCACAAUAGGCUAAGAGAUACUCGAGCCAUUUAGGGACUUUGAAACUCCGGUGAGCCAAGUUCCGGUGAUAGGAGACGGUGAUACCAAGACCACCGAUGGUGUAAAACAAGAACGUAACCCAAAGAGCCGACCAUGUGAAAUAAAAGGGAGCCAAGAGAGCUAGAGAAUGGACAAUGAAAGAUGCUGAGAAUUUCACAUAGUCCAAUCUCCUCCACCUUCUAUCCCAAAACACCCAUCUCCUCUUCUUCUUCUCCUCCACCGGCGAAGAAGAUGGAUUCUUCCGGUGGUUCUCCUCCACCGUCGACGUUACCGACAUCUCGGAUCUCUUCUUCUCUUCUUUUCUAGGUUCUCUGAAAAAAAGUUAUAAUGGAGGAGGAGAGGACGAGAAUAAAAAAUAAAGUGAUGCCUCUCUUCUAAUUUAUACUAUAAGAAGAAGAAAAAAUAUUCACUGCAAACCAAAUAAAAAAUAAAAAUCAUAGGAUCGGGGUAAGUAAUAAAUAUCAUGAUAUUUGUUGCAACAUUUGGCACGUAAGGGGGGUUGAGCUGUAUAGUUUACAUGCAAUAGUGAUCUAAAAUUGUAAAUAUAAAGUUUUCUUUAUGGUAUAACCAAACCAGUAACAGUAAGUAAAAGAUAUAAUAUAAAGUUUUAGAGAUGCCAAAAACAAAAGGGUGUUUUUAAGGGGUGACACAGGGCUCAAUAUUAUGAAAUUUUGACUUAUUCCACUGUUGAUAGAAAGAUAUACAUUGCUUUAUGGAUGUACGUGAUUACAGGCAAAAAUCACGUUCGGUUGCUGCAGACUGUUAUCAUUUUCAUUCCACAGUUUUUUUUUUUUCAAUUUUUUCUUAUUGUUUUUGUUAUUUAAAAUUUUAAAAAAAAAUUGGAAUAACUCACUGGCUGUACUGAGAAUAUACUGUUUUUGGUCUUCUUUUUUUAAUUAGUUUAUAGAAUAUAAUCUACAUAAUCUAUAGGAAAUCAAAAUAUACAUAACUAAGGUUCCCAAGUGUCAACUCUCUAAUCCAUUAAUACUUAUAUCUAAUAGUUAUUUUAUUUUACAGUUAUUAUACAAGAAACUAUAUCUAAUAAUUAUUUUUCCAAUAUAUAUACAACUAAAUCAAAUAGUAUAAUUGUUUUUUGACUAAAAUAGUGAAAUUAGGGAGUAGUACAUCAACUUUGACCCAAAAAGAAAGAAAAGUUAAAUAAAUAAUAUGUUUUAUAUACACUAAUUUAACACAUUUACAUGUAAUUCACAGAUCUCUCAGAAAAGCAUGUAUCUUUUAAUUCUUUUUUUAUCUUUUAAUUCUUAUUUUAUUUUUCAAAACGUUUUGACCAAGAAAAAGAGAAAUGUUAAGUACAUAAUAUUUGUACCAUUUGAAUCACAAAAUCAUUUAUAAAUAAAGUGUAUAUGGGAAAAAUAAAAACACGAUCUCUUAAACAAGCAUGUAUUUGUUUUUUCUUAGGGAAAAUUUUUAAAGCGUUUGACCAAAAUAAAUAAAUUUAAAAGAUCAAAAUUAAUUUAUUUUGUAACUAGUUUUGGAGAUUUUUAGAUCUUCGUGAUCAAUUCCUUUCCGGUGGAGUACGGAUUGUCAAAAUUGUGUGUGUUUUAAGUGGAAAGAAAUAUCAAAGUCGUAUUUUAUUUAUUUAUUCAUUUUUGAUUAGAUCACAAGUAGUUGAGUUUUUGUUUAGAUUAAAGUAGUUUAGUUUUUUUGUUUAGAUUAAAGUGGUUGAGUUCAUGUCUUCUUAAUAAGUUUUUUAUUUUUAUUUUUCUCUUCCUCUUAAACUAAUAAAUAUUAAGGUUGCAAGAUUCAUUAUACACGUCUUCAUACAUAAAGUACAUUACUGAAUUGAAUAUUUGACUAAAUGAAAUAAUAUUUAUUAAAUUUGUUUAGUGUAUGUUAUGAUGAUAUCUUCUUUUGUACCCCUGUAAUGAUAUCAAUCUCAAUAUCGCACAGCACACUACUUGCAAGUUUCUUUUAUUUUUAAAACUUAAAAGAAUUGUGAUGAUAAAAAAAAGAGAUAUUUUUGUAUCAACCUUGGGGCCGUAUGCCAUAUUGCCCACAACUUUUAUUAGGUCUAAAACUGAUUCCAUACCUCAAGAGUCAAGACUCUCAAGUGAUAAACAGUAUACGUAUAUGUUGAAUCACAAGACAGAUACAAGAUCGUAAACUUACACAUGUUAAGAUCUGUUAUGUAGACAUAACCAUGUGCUCGAACUUGUAAGCUCGUGUAAAAUAAUUCAAACUGUUUUGUUGCUAGCUAUACUAGUACUGUACUUAAGUAUUACCACAACAAUAUACUGUUGUAUAUAAACAACAAUUUAAAAAAAAAAUCGAUCUUUAAAAUCGUCACGUUUGAAAAUGUCGUCCUAGAAAUUCCUAAAUCAUCGGUUCUAGAUCUUGAAAAUGAAAACAAAACUUUAAAUGAAUCAAAACAGUGUAGUGGUAGUGGAGACGAGAAAGCCUCGCUAACUCCGGAAAACGUAUGACGACAAAUUUAUAUAAAUAGAGUUUAUAAUACAAAUGCCGAAAUGCGUACAAGAAUAUAGUGUCCUACAAGAAAAAUUAUAAAUAAAAAAACAAAGUAGACAAGAGUGAGGUUACUGUCAUCAUAGCAUCUACAUGUAUCGUUGAAUUAUACCUUUUUUUUUAUAUAGAAAAAAUUCCGAAACUGUAACGUACCUACCUUAGUAGUUUCUACAUCAAGAUUGAAAUCAUAGCAGCAAAGUUGAUUAGUAGGUUUGUGGGUAAGUGAGAAAGCGUAAAGUGAAGAAAGGGUAAGUGAUCAGAAAGGUGGUUGCGCUUUCGUAUACUUACUUAAUAACAACGAUUAACAAACACUAAUUACACAACUAUUGAACAUGUUAACAUUUAAACAGAAUAAUUAUAUUCCUACAUUUCUAAAAAAGUUACGACGUUUAAAUUAGAAGAAGAAAAAAAACCACAAAUCCGACUUGGUUCUGUUGUUUCAAUGAGAUCAAAUAAGUUUUGUGUUUGGUCUUUUGAGAUGAGUCGAACCAAAAUUGGAAAUAAAUCAUAAUGUUGUCACGUAGUAUUCUUUUUCUGAAAACGGACUAAUAAGUACACAGUUUCGAGUUAUUAGUAUUCUGAGAAACUAAAUCGUGUUUUAUAGAAUUAAGGAGAUAGUACACAUAUCUCAGAACUUCUACUAAUAUUAUAACACAUAUUAUAUAAAAAAAGAGAGAAAAAUAUGAUAGUAACAUGUGUGAAGGGAUAGAAAAAUAGUAAAAUGAUGCUAAUGGUCCCUGGAUCACACCAUUUGUGUACUAGUAGCUCGUCAGAAGUCACUGACCACUAUAUUUUCUCGAUUUAACAUGUUCCUCUUCCUCCCCUCACUUUCAAAACUUUUCACUACACCUCCAUUUCAAAAAUAGUAUGCUAAUUACGAUACAUCCUCUUACAACUUCUACUUAGAAAACAAUUUUAGGAUUUGUGAGCUUAAACGAAUACAUACAUAGCUGAGUUAUAAGCUUUUGGUAGCUUGCAAAAGGCAACUUGACAGGACUCUCAAUCAAAACCAUAUCCCAACAACAUGAGAAUACAAAGAACCACCUCCAUUGAAGACCAGUAAUACCAAAGGUACGAGGAAAUGUGUGAAAGCAUCUUGAACGACGUGAUAGAGCAUAUUAUAUACUAUCAAUACAUGAGAUUUGUAAGUAAAUUGACCAAUAAUAUCGAUUUUUUUUGUUUGUAGGUACAUUUAUAAUUAAGUAGUGUGAAGCAUAUGAAAACGUUUUUGAGAUAAUUAAAAAAAAAAAA